UGGCAAGGAUGUAUGAAGUGAAAGAUCCAAAUGCCAUAUUUGUUUUUAAGUUCAGGACGCACUUUGGUGGAGGCAAUUCCACUGGUUUUGGCUUGAUCUAUGAUUCUGUUGAGAGUGCAAAGAAAUACGAGCCAAAAUACAGGCUCAUCAGGGAAGAAUUUCCGUUGAAGUAAUGGAUACACUGGCAAUUUGUAUACUUGCUGCUGAAGAUUAUCAUUAAUCUCUAUGGGCACAAAGUGAAUCAAGAUUUGUUUUUUGGUUGGUGGUUUUGAUCCAUCUAAUUUUGGAAUGUCCUUUUGGUCCUAGGAUACGCUGAAAAAUACUGGUCAAGAAACAGAGAAUAUAGGUUGGGAAUUACUUAACUCUCUAUGUCGCACCCGAUAUUAUUUCAUAUGAUUUAAUUAUCACAGGUUUGAUACGAAAGGCGAGCGACGUCUUCUCUGCACAACUCCAAUGAUCACUCACAUUGGGUCGGGCUCAAGGGUUUUCUUGGCAAUGCUGUGGCAAAAAGAUCCAUUGCCAGAUGCAAGCUGGAGCAGAUGACCCAAAAUCUGUUGUAUACUAGUUAAAUUAAGAGUAUAAUUUUGAAUGCAGUUCUGGACAACCACUGAAUAAAGUGAGUAUGCAACUUCCCAUUUACCAGCUCAAUUGUUCAAACUAUAAAGCUAUACUGUCUUUUUCUCUGUUCCUAGUUUACACCGUUCGUCCAAUUGGAUAUUGAUAGAUCAACGUGUCUAUUACUUCA